UAGGGAAUCUUCCACAAUGGGCGCAAGCCUGAUGGAGCAACACCGCGUGAGUGAAGAAGGGUUUCGGCUCGUAAAGCUCUGUUGUUAAAGAAGAACACGUAUGAGAGUUAACUGUUCAUACGUUGACGGUAUUUAACCAGAAAGUCACGGCUAACUACGUACCAG
rnacentral:rRNA from 1 species